GGCACACACCCGCCGGGGCAUCGGCGCCUUUUCUUAAAAAUAACUUCAGCUUCUGCCCGUGGAAGGGUGGAAGUUAAACCUAUUUCUCCAGCCCGCAAACGCAAACACUAAACACUGCACUAAGUUAGCCCGAAUCCCGUGAAAAUACGUGUGCUUUCCUCGAACCGGGACCAACUAGCCAAUGGCUUAGCACGAGUAAAAGCUGUCUCCGUGGCUCAGUGCAUCUGCUUUUGACCCGCCUAGUCACAGAAAUCCAUCAUAUUACCAGCAUACACAGGUUUCUUCUUAUUCCAAAAUUUAUCUUCUACUUGGAUUUUGAUCAGUUCCUUGUGUUUGUGAAACAAGAAGGCACAUGCAAAGAAAAGAAAAAGAGACAAUGAAAAAACACAUCUCUGAAUAGAAAGCCUUGCUAACUCAGAAGCGUUGCAGAAAAAAGCACAAGCAUGAGACCCAAAAAACAAAUGACUGAAUACAACUCUGAAGAAGACUCUUAAUAAGCCCAGUAAUGUCUGGUGCAGGCAAUUGCAAUGCAGUUCACUCCUGCAGGGACAUCCUAACUAUGAAGGUACUGCAAAGAUCUCAUCUACUGCCUUUCCUCUAGAGAAGGAAUACAGCCUAAACAUCUCCUCCUGCAUCUAAGCAUGUUCUGAACAAA